rnacentral:rRNA from 1 species
GGUUAAGCGACUAAGCGUACACGGUGGAUGCCCUGGCAGUCAGAGGCGAUGAAGGACGUGCUAAUCUGCGAUAAGCGUCGGUAAGGUGAUAUGAACCGUUAUAACCGGCGAUUUCCGAAUGGGGAAACCCAGUGUGUUUCGACACACUAUCAUUAACUGAAUCCAUAGGUUAAUGAGGCGAACCGGGGGAACUGAAACAUCUAAGUACCCCGAGGAAAAGAAAUCAACCGAGAUUCCCCCAGUAGCGGCGAGCGAACGGGGAGCAGCCC